UACGUAGGGGGCGAGCGUUGUCCGGAUUUAUUGGGCGUAAAGAGCGUGUAGGCGGCCAGGUAGGUCUGCUGUGAAAACUCGAGGCUCAACCUCGAGACGUCGGCGGAAACCAUCUGGCUAGAGUCCGGAAGAGGAGAGUGGAAUUCCUAGUGUAGAGGUGAAAUGCGCAGAUAUCAAGAAGAACACCCGUGGCGAAGGCGGCUCUCUGGGACGGUACUGACGCUGAGACGCGAAAGCGUGGGGAGCGAACAGG
rnacentral:rRNA from 1 species